GAAAAAAAAAAAAGGCAAAUAAGAGCACCAUGAUUUUUAUUUUCCUGAGUCAAUGGAUCAUCUCAAGUUCUUAACGAUAGAAGUAAGUAAAGAAAUAUUAUAAUUGGAGCCUUUUUGAAUCGCUAGCAGCUAAUCUAAAAGUGAUGGUUGUUACUUGAAUAAAAAGACUAAAGAACUGUUAAAAUUUCUCUCUACUACUGCCUGCUGUAAAACCAGUCUGAUAUAAUUUUCUUACAUUUAGGUUUGAGAUGCCAUUCAAUUUAUGGUGUGGUGGUUGCAAUUCUA
rnacentral:misc_RNA from 1 species